UAAGGUUGAAAUAGUUCCUCACCAGGCUGCUUGAUCUUGAUCUACCAGUCUUGCUGGCAGGGAUCCAGUGCCAGACAAAGUUCCAAUGGCUUACCUUCAGUUUGAGCAGUCUACAAUCCAGACUGGAAUACUGAAGUGAUCUAGCAGGACCUGAAUACCUCUCGGUGUGAGAUGACAACUGAAGAGAGAUAAAGGGAGCAAAUUGGACGUCCACUUUUCCUCUCAUUACUCUGACCUGUCUCUCACCGCCGGGCCAGUCAGGGGAUGUCAAUGUGCUGUUCCUGUCUGACAGGCUAAGCUGACAUGUGACCUAGCUGUUGAUCAUGUGACCCAGUGGUGGAUCAAAGGUCCAUGGAAGCCUGUACCCUCCCCAA